rnacentral:pre_miRNA from 1 species
AAUAUACUCCCUCCGUCCGGAAAUACUUGUCAUCAAAAUGGAUGAAAAGAGAUGUAUCUAAAACUAAAAUACGUCUAGAUACAUCCCUUUUAUCCAUUUUGAUGACAAGUAUUUUCGGACGGAGGGAGUACAUG